AUUGAACGCUGGCGGCAUGCUUUACACAUGCAAGUCGAACGGCAGCACGGGGGCAACCCUGGUGGCGAGUGGCGAACGGGUGAGUAAUGCAUCGGAACAUGCCCAGUAGUGGGGGAUAACACAUCGAAAGAUGUGCUAAUACCGCAUACGCACUGAGGUGGAAAGCGGGGGAUCGUAAGACCUCGCGCUAUUGGAGUGGCCGAUGUCCGAUUAGCUAGUUGGUGGGGUAAUGGCCAACCAAGGCGACGAUCGGUAGCUGGUCUGAGAGGAUGAUCAGCCACACUGGGACUGAGACACGGCCCAGACUCCUACGGGGGGCAGCAGUGGGGAAUUUUGGACAAUGGGCGCAAGCCUGAUCCAGCCAUGCCGCGUGAGUGAAGAAGGCCUUCGGGUUGUAAAGCUCUUUCGGCCGGAACGAAAUCGUCCGGGCUAAUACCCCGGAUGGAUGACGGUACCGGAAGAAGAAGCACCGGCUAACUACGUGCCAGCAGCCGCCGUAA
rnacentral:rRNA from 1 species